rnacentral:rRNA from 1 species
UGCCCAGACUCCUACGGGAGGCAGCAGUGGGGGAUAUUGCACAAUGGGGGGAACCCUGAUGCAGCGACGCCGCGUGGGUGAAGGAGCGUUUCGGCGCGUAAAGCCCUAUCGGCAGGGAAGAAGGAGGACGGUACCUGACUAAGAAGCCCCGGCUAACUACGUGCCAGCAGCCGCGGUAAUACGUAGGGGGCAAGCGUUAUCCGGAUUUACUGGGUGUAAAGGGAGCGUAGACGGCCAGACAAGUCUGAAGUGAAAAUCCAGCGCUUAACGCUGGAAGUGCUUUGGAAACUGCCGGGCUGGAGUGCAGGAGGGGCAGGCGGAAUUCCUGGUGUAGCGGUGAAAUGCGUAGAUAUCAGGAGGAACACCGGCGGCGAAGGCGGCCUGCUGGACCGUGACUGACGUUGAGGCUCGAGAGCGUGGGGAGCAAACAGGAUUAGAUACCCGAGUAUU